UUCUUCAUAGGCUGCUCAUAGUCGGCGUAGCAGUCUGUCCCAGUCAUCACACAGCAUGGACAUAAGGAUCCCUGCUCAGCUCCUGGGGCUCCUGCUGCUCUGGCUCCCAGAUGCGAGGUGUGGCAUCCAGAUGACCCAGUCCCCAUCCACCUUGUCUGCAUCUGUAGGAGGAACAGCCACCAUCACUUGCAGAGCAGUGGAAACAUUUAUAGCUAUUUAGCCUGGUACCAGCAGAAACUAGGUAAAGCCCCUAAACUCCUGAUCUAUGGUAGUAGUACUUUGGCAUCUGGUGUUCCAUCCAGGUUCAGUGGCAGUGGAUCUGGGACAGAUUAUUCUCUCACCAUCAGCAGCCUGCAGCCUGAAGAUGUUGCCACUUAUUACUGUCAACAGCAUAUGAACUUUCCUCCCACAGUGAUAUAAGCCAUGACAAAAACCUACCAGGGAAGCAGAAGUGAGAGUCUGAGCUGCCCCAGCUGCUCCUCCUGGUGCCUCCACCUGCUGACAGAGCUGCUCAUAUAUAGACAAUAUAGACUUGAAGAGUGUGAA